GCGGAGUUUCCGGGAGUCUGUUGUAGUUUUAUGGCGUUGCGGAGUGCAAUGAAGUGCAGUGAGUGGGACGCGCGGGAAGCGGCCAUCUUGCGGCUGUCAGGCGGUUGCCGCGGCGGCCGCCAGGCGGCGCGUGUGUCGCGGAGUGAGCCAGGGUUCCUUGACUUUCGCGGCCUGUAGCGGUAUGGCAGAAGGGCCUGGCUACGGCGGCAGGCCGCGGUCGCCUGGUGCCCGCGCUGCCGGCGGCCCCGUGACCCCCGAGGCCCCUGCGGCCCCCGCGGCCCCCGCGCAGCGCCCGGCUGGCAGGCGCGGCUGACGCCCCUCAGCCAGGCUUGAGGGUCGGCCAGCGGAACCGUCACCCUAUAUGUUUAUUUAUCACCUUCGUGUAAUUGACCAAUCCGGCAGUUUUGUGGACGCGCGGCGGCGUCACGAGCCGCCAGCUCAAGACCUCCGGGAAUCAUAACCACCAUAUCGACAGAUUUUAUGUAUAUUAGUUUGUAGUUUAUCUUUAAAUGUAAGUAGAUAUGUAAAACGUUCACCAAUUCGCAUACAACAUAAAUCAAACACUAGGUUAAGUAUAUAACUCUCACUUUUCCGUUUUAUUUUUCCACGAAAAAGCUUUUCCAUGUUAUUUUCAUUGUCUAUGCACGUUACAAGCGUAUUAAUUAAGGUUUACUGCUACGAAAAUGUUGUAAAUAAUAUGUACUUUUCCAUUCUUUCAACAUUUUUCAUUAGAUUUAAGUAAGUUGUGCUCACAAUUUGUUGUAACAGUCAGCAAUAAAGUGCGUAUCUUUCUCAUCGAGCUAAAAGUAAAGAUAUUUGUUUUUAUUAAGUAAUAUUUUAAGUUUAUUAUGUUUUCCGAGUGUUCAACAUGAGAUAUAUUACUGUUAUCCCUUUUACAUUUUUGGUUUUCUUGCAAUAAAAUAGUUUUUGUAUUUC